rnacentral:sRNA from 12 species
UAUAGGUGCAGGCAGAGAUGCACUGUAUACCUGUGAAACCGAAUUAGCGUUUAAGCGACAUGUAAUGUCGUCGGACACAGGGAGCCGCUCUUGGGCGGCUUUUUUCAUACA